rnacentral:rRNA from 1 species
UUCCGGUUGAUCCUGCCGGACCUGACUGCUAUCGGAUUGAUACUAAGCCAUGCAAGUCUUUGUAGUAAUACAAGGCAUACGGCUCAGUAACGCGUAGUCAACCUACCCUAUGGAUGGGGAUAAUCUCGGGAAACUGAGCAUAAUACCCAACAGAUCAUCAAUUCUGGAAUGGUUGAUGAUUCAAAUGAUUUUUCGCCAUAGGAUGGGACUGCGACCUAUCAGCUUGUUGGUGAGGUAAUGGCCCACCAAGGCAAUUACAGGUACGGGCUCUGAGAGGAGAAGCCCGGAGAUGGGUACUGAGACAAGGACCCAGGCCCUAUGGGGCGCAGCAGGCGAGAAAACUUUGCAAUGUGCGAAAGCACGACAAGGUUAAUCCGAGUGAUUUCUGCUAAAGGAAUCUUUUACCAGUUCUAAAAAUACUGGCGAAUAAGGGGUGGGCAAGUUCUGGUGUCAGCCGCCGCGGUAAAACCAGCACCUCAAGUGGUCAGGAGGAUUAUUGGGCCUAAAGCAUCCGUAGCCGGCUCUGUAAGUUUUCGGUUAAAUCUAUAUGCUCAACAUAUAGGCUGCCGAAAAUACUGCAUAGCUAGGGAAUGGGAGAGGUAGACGGUACUCGGUAGGAAGGGGUAAAAUCCUUUGAUCUAUCGAUGACCACCUGUGGCGAAGGCGGUCUACCAGAACAUGUUCGACGGUGAGGGAUGAAAGCUGGGGGAGCAAACCGGAUUAGAUACCCGGGUAGUCCCAGCUGUAAACGAUGCAGACUCGAUAAUGCACUGGCACAUAGCCAGUGCAGUGUCGCAGGGAAGCCGUUAAGUCUGCCGCCUGGGAAGUACGUACGCAAGUAUGAAACUUAAAGGAAUUGGCGGGGGAGCACCACAAGGGGUGAAGCCUGCGGUUCAAUUGGAGUCAACGCCGGA